rnacentral:lncRNA from 1 species
GCCAGUUAGUUUUGUUACAUAAUGAUGCCUUUUUAGGUCUUCUACAAUGAAGAUCAAAUGGAACGAGUAUGUCAUUCAGACUACAAUCACUCUUGUGCAUUAUAUAGUUAUGAAGGAAAAAUAAAAUUGUUAUAUUGAUGCUCCAGGUGCAAAUAUAGAGAACAUACUGGCAUACUGAAACCAGGGAGAGGACAGUAAUCUAAGCAUAGCACCGUAGCAAAUUUCAGUAAUAUUACGAGAAAUUGGUAGUAGGCAAUUCAGAAAGCUAUACUUAUGAUUUAUUUAUCUCAUUCACAUGGAUGCAGCUAUUUAAGUUUCAGGAUACAGACAGACAGACAGCCAGACAUACACACAUCCCCACUUUGCAUUCAAAAUUGAGUCUGAAAAUUGAUCUUGAGGUCAUAGGUUGUGGAGCUGACAGUUGGAAAAGAAAAUGCAUGUGACAUGUGUAAGGUGAUGAAGGUGACAAGAAUAACCCAUGGUAACUAUUUGCUCAGCUUAAUCCUCCUUCCUGUACAUCCAAAACAUCUACUUUCAGUACUUCUGUAGUAGUUGAACUUUGAGACGGCCAUGUAUUUGCCUAUUUGGCAAAUGUGACAGGAAAUGUUAGCCCAUAGGAAGUUGUCAAAGCGUCGCAGAAGAUUGAGGAAACAGCAACUUGCUGCGGCGAGAUAGAGAGCUGAUCUGUUCUCUUGAUUUGAUUUAUUGAUUUCUUGGCUGCCUGAUUUUCUUUGGCCUUUUACCUGGCAGCUACAUUAUAUUGGGAUUGCAAUUGUAAAUUCAGAGAUCAGAAUAUGUACCAGAUGUCUAAAAUUAAAGUUCUCCAAAA